UACGUAGGGGGCAAGCGUUAUCCGGAUUUACUGGGUGUAAAGGGAGCGUAGACGGCCACGCAAGUCUGAAGUGAAAUGCCAGUGCUCAACACUGGAACUGCUUUGGAAACUGUGAGGCUGGAGUGCAGGAGAGGUAAGUGGAAUUCCUAGUGUAGCGGUGAAAUGCGUAGAUAUUAGGAGGAACACCAGUGGCGAAGGCGGCUUACUGGACUGUAACUGACGUUGAGGCUCGAAGGCGUGGGGAGCAA
rnacentral:rRNA from 1 species